AUUGAACGCUGGCGGCAGGCCUAACACAUGCAAGUCGAGCGGAUGAAGGGAGCUUGCUCCUGGAUUCAGCGGCGGACGGGUGAGUAAUGCCUAGGAAUCUGCCUGGUAGUGGGGGAUAACGUCCGGAAACGGGCGCUAAUACCGCAUACGUCCUGAGGGAGAAAGUGGGGGAUCUUCGGACCUCACGCUAUCAGAUGAGCCUAGGUCGGAUUAGCUAGUUGGUGGGGUAAAGGCCUACCAAGGCGACGAUCCGUAACUGGUCUGAGAGGAUGAUCAGUCACACUGGAACUGAGACACGGUCCAGACUCCUACGGGAGGCAGCAGUGGGGAAUAUUGGACAAUGGGCGAAAGCCUGAACCAGCCAUGCCGCGUGUGUGAAGAAGGUCUUCGGAUUGUAAAGCACUUUAAGUUGGGAGGAAGGGCAGUAAGCUAAUACCUUGCUGUUUUGACGUUACCAACAGAAUAAGCACCGGCUAACUUCGUG
rnacentral:rRNA from 1 species